rnacentral:rRNA from 1 species
ACGAGACUCUGGGUCACCUCCCACCCAUGUUUAUUGUACCUUGUUGCUUCGGCGGGCCCGCCUCACGGCCGCCGGGGGGCUUCUGCCCUCUGGCCCGCGCCCGCCGAAGACACCAUUGAACACUGUCUGAAGAUUGCAGUCUGAGCAAUUAGCUAAAUAAGUUAAAACUUUCAACAACGGAUCUCUUGGUUCCGGCAUCGAUGAAGAACGCAGCGAAAUGCGAUACGUAAUGUGAAUUGCAGAAUUCAGUGAAUCAUCGAGUCUUUGAACGCACAUUGCGCCCCUUGGUAUUCCGGGGGGCAUGCCUGUCCGAGCGUCAUUGCUGCCCUCAAGCACGGCUUGUGUGUUGGGCCCCGUCCUCCUUCCCGGGGGACGGGCCCGAAAGGCAGCGGCGGCACCGCGUCCGGUCCUCGAGCGUAUGGGGCUUUGUCACCCGCUCUUGUAGGCCCGGCCGGCGCUUGCCGACAACCAUCAAUCUUUUUUCAGGUUGACCUCGGAUCAGGUAGGGAUACCCGCUGAACUUAAGCAUAUCAAAAACGGGAAGGAAACA